rnacentral:rRNA from 1 species
AUUGAACGCUGGCGGCAGGCCUAACACAUGCAAGUCGAGCGGUAGAGAGGUGCUUGCAUCUCUUGAGAGCGGCGGACGGGUGAGUAAUGCCUAGGAAUCUGCCUAGUGGUGGGGGAUAACGUUCGGAAACGGACGCUAAUACCGCAUACGUCCUACGGGAGAAAGCGGGGGAUCUUCGGACCUCGCGCCAUUAGAUGAGCCUAGGUCGGAUUAGCUAGUUGGUGAGGUAAUGGCUCACCAAGCCGACGAUCUGUAGCUGGUCUGAGAGGACGACCAGCCACACUGGGACUGAGACACGGCCCAGACUCCUACGGGAGGCAGCAGUGGGGGAAUUUUGGACAAUGGGCGCAAGCCUGAUCCAGCAAUGCCGCGUGCAGGAUGAAGGCCUCGGUUGGUAACGUAGCUUUGUUACGGUACGAACGGUAGAG